rnacentral:siRNA from 1 species
GAGGUCACGGCGUGAAGUGUGGUU